rnacentral:snRNA from 1 species
ACACCAUGAUCAAUCAGGUGGUAGCUUGUUUCUGAUAUGUCCUCCACAGGAGGUCUAUAUUGAGCAGAUUCUUUUUGGUAUUGGGUGGUGGAACCGGAGCGUGCUCCAUCCACUCCAUGCAUUGACCUGGUAUUCCAGUGCUUCCAGGACCGGUGCAAAAAAA